UGCAAGUCGAACGGAAAGGCCCUUCGGGGUACUCGAGUGGCGAACGGGUGAGUAACACGUGGGUGAUCUGCCCUGCACUUUGGGAUAAGCCUGGGAAACUGGGUCUAAUACCGAAUAUACCUCUUGGAUUGCAUGAUUCUUGGGGGAAAGCUUUUGCGGUGUGGGAUGGGCCCGCGGCCUAUCAGCUUGUUGGUGGGGUGAUGGCCUACCAAGGCGACGACGGGUAGCCGGCCUGAGAGGGUGACCGGCCACACUGGGACUGAGAUACGGCCCAGACUCCUACGGGAGGCAGCAGUGGGGAAUAUUGCACAAUGGGCGCAAGCCUGAUGCAGCGACGCCGCGUGGGGGAUGACGGCCUUCGGGUUGUAAACCUCUUUCAGUAGGGACGAAGCGCAAGUGACGGUACCUACAGAAGAAGGACCGGCCAACUACGUGCCAGCAGCCGCGGUAAUACGUAGGGUCCGAGCGUUGUCCGGAAUUACUGGGCGUAAAGAGCUCGUAGGUGGUUUGUCGCGUUGUUCGUGAAAACCGGGGGCUUAACCCUCGGCGUGCGGGCGAUACGGGCAGACUAGAGUACUGCAGGGGAGACUGGAAUUCCUGGUGUAGCGGUGGAAUGCGCAGAUAUCAGGAGGAACACCGGUGGCGAAGGCGGGUCUCUGGGCAGUAACUGACGCUGAGGAGCGAAAGCGUGGGGAGCGAACAGGAUUAGAUACCCUGGUAGUCCACGCCGUAAACGGUGGGUACUAGGUGUGGGUUUCCUUCCUUGGGAUCCGUGCCGUAGCUAACGCAUUAAGUACCCCGCCUGGGGAGUACGGCCGCAAGGCUAAAACUCAAAGGAAUUGACGGGGGCCCGCACAAGCGGCGGAGCAUGUGGAUUAAUUCGAUGCAACGCGAAGAACCUUACCUGGGUUUGACAUGCACAGGACGCCAGUAGAGAUAUUGGUUCCCUUGUGGCCUGUGUGCAGGUGGUGCAUGGCUGUCGUCAGCUCGUGUCGUGAGAUGUUGGGUUAAGUCCCGCAACGAGCGCAACCCUUGUCUCAUGUUGCCAGCACGUUAUGGUGGGGACUCGUGAGAGACUGCCGGGGUCAACUCGGAGGAAGGUGGGGAUGACGUCAAGUCAUCAUGCCCCUUAUGUCCAGGGCUUCACACAUGCUACAAUGGCCGGUACAAAGGGCUGCGAUGCCGUGAGGUGGAGCGAAUCCUUUCAAAGCCGGUCUCAGUUCGGAUCGGGGUCUGCAACUCGACCCCGUGAAGUCGGAGUCGCUAGUAAUCGCAGAUCAGCAACGCUGCGGUGAAUACGUUCCCGGGCCUUGUACACACCGCCCGUCACGUCAUGAAAGUCGGUAACACCCGAAGCCGGUGGCCUAACCCCUUGUGGG
rnacentral:rRNA from 1 species